rnacentral:rRNA from 1 species
UACGGAGGGUGCAAGCGUUAAUCGGAAUUACUGGGCGUAAAGCGCACGCAGGCGGUCUGUCAAGUCGGAUGUGAAAUCCCCGGGCUCAACCUGGGAACUGCAUUCGAAACUGGCAGGCUAGAGUCUUGUAGAGGGGGGUAGAAUUCCAGGUGUAGCGGUGAAAUGCGUAGAGAUCUGGAGGAAUACCGGUGGCGAAGGCGGCCCCCUGGACCAACACUGACGCUGAGGAGCGAAAGCCAGGGGAGCAAACGGG